UACGAAGGGGGCUAGCGUUGUUCGGAAUUACUGGGCGUAAAGCGUUUGUAGGCGGUUAUUCAAGUCAGUGGUGAAAUCCUGGGGCUCAACCUCAGAAUUGCCAUUGAAACUGGAUAGCUAGAGAAUGUUAGAGGAAAGUGGAAUUCCUAGUGUAGGAGUGAAAUCCGUAGAGAUUAGGAGGAAUAUCGAUGGCGAAGGCGAGCUUUCUGGG
rnacentral:rRNA from 1 species